GACGAACGCUGGCGGCGUGCUUAACACAUGCAAGUCGAACGGAAAGGCCCUGCUUUUGUGGGGUGCUCGAGUGGCGAACGGGUGAGUAACACGUGAGUAACCUGCCCUUGACUUUGGGAUGACUUCAGGAAACUGGGGCUAAUACCGGAUAGGAGCUCCUGCUGCAUGGUGGGGGUUGGAAAGUUUCGGUGGUUGGGGAUGGACUCGCGGCUUAUCAGCUUGUUGGUGGGGUAGUGGCUUACCAAGGCUUUGGCGGGUAGCCGGCCUGAGAGGGUGACCGGCCACAUUGGGACUGAGAUACGGCCCAGACUCCUAUGGGAGGCAACAGUGGGGAAUAUUGCACAAUGGGCGGAAGUGUGAUGCAGCAACGCCGCGUGCGGGAUGACGGCCUUCGGGUUGUAAACCGCUGUCGCCUGUGACGAAGCGUGAGUGACGGUAAUGGGUAAAGAAGCACCGGCUAACUACGUG
rnacentral:rRNA from 1 species